rnacentral:lncRNA from 1 species
CCAAAUCUUGAGUUUGAUUUAUAUUGCAUUAUAUUUAACCAAAAAUAAUAAUAAUAACAAAAGGUAUCAUGUUUCCACUACACUCUUCUUGCGAGACCAUUUUCACGCCUUCCUUCAUCCCAAUAAUUUUAAUUUUUUAAUUUUUAUUAUAUUUUAUCCCAAUAAGGUAUAUCUUCAUCAUCUCUCCACUCAAUCAAAAACAUCAAUUAUUUAUCUCCUUGAGUAUGUGAGGUUGCUUGUUUUUACUGCAAAACAAUAAAAAAUUCGGAACUUGAUUUUUUCUUACGAGCACAUUGCUGCAAAACAAUAAAAAACCGAUAACUUGAUUUUAUUUUAUGAACACAUUGUUGCAAAACAAUAAAAAACCUAUAACUUAAUUUUAUCUCAUGAACACAUUGCUGCAAAAUAAUAAAAAAAUCAGGAACUUAAUUUUAUCUCAUGAACACAAAGAUUCACCACUUUAGUCUAUAAAUGGAGACAGAAAAAUCAUUCGGGAAAGAGGGGUUUUGGGAUAAAGAUCAGAUACUAUUUAUCAUUAAAAAAACAAACAGUAAGAAGAGAGUUUUAUUUUUAAGAAAAAAAAAAUCUAAAGAUAGAAAAUCAUUUAAGAGAAAAUAAGAGAAAAAAAAUAGAAAAUGAGAAUUAGAGCCAUCGCUGUAAUUUCAACUUUCACCAGGUAACCGCCGAAUACCACUGUGAACCUUUACACCACCCCUUUACACCACUGUUGUCUGCCUUCUCAUUUGUUGUUCUACACGGAUCUGCAUCUCAUGGUUCGGUCUCUAUCACUUUAACAUUUUAACGUUUGGUGUUGACAUAUUUAAUUUCUAUGAUAGUUGGUUGCUUUCUUAAAAGUUGAUCUCAUCUUAAAAAAUUAUACUUAUUAUUCGUUUAAAGUUGAGAGAUUUAUUGUCAAAAUAAUGCAUUCAAAUAUAUUGACAAUCUUGAAUGGUAGAGAGGGGUGUAUCCGUUAAGUAUUCUUUUUAUCUAGAAACCAGUCUUUCUUUAUGCGUGCAAGCUAGCUUUAUCAAUGCCAGUUACAUUCUUUUUCUUUCUUUCAUUAUGCGUGCAAGCUGUAACAACAUCAAGUGUCUUUUUGUAGGUUGUAACAACAGAAAAUGUACUUUUUUAUUUAAU